rnacentral:rRNA from 1 species
CCUACGGGGGGCAGCAGUGGGGAAUAUUGGACAAUGGGGGGAACCCUGAUCCAGCCAUGCCGCGUGUGUGAAGAAGGCCCUCGGGUUGUAAAGCACUUUCAGUGAGGAAGAACGCCUGGUGGUUAAUACCCAUCAGGAAAGACAUCACUCACAGAAGAAGCACCGGCUAACUCCGUGCCAGCAGCCGCGGUAAUACGGAGGGUGCGAGCGUUAAUCGGAAUUACUGGGCGUAAAGCGCGCGUAGGUGGCUUGAUAAGCCGGUUGUGAAAGCCCCGGGCUCAACCUGGGAACGGCAUCCGGAACUGUCAAGCUAGAGUGCAGGAGAGGAAGGUAGAAUUCCCGGUGUAGAGGUGAAAUGCGUAGAGAUCGGGAGGAAUACCAGUGGCGAAGGUGGCCUUCUGGACUGACACUGACACUGAGGUGCGAAAGCGUGGGUAGCAAACAGGAUUAGAUACCCGUGUAGUC